ACCAUGUGAGAACACAAGAAGAAUAUAUCAUCUAUGAAGCAAGAAAUGGGCCCCCCAGCAGACAUUGAAUCUGUCAGUGUCUUCAUCUUGGACUUCCCAGCCUCUAGAACUGUGGGAAAUACCUGUUGUUUAUAAGCCACCCAGUUUAAGAAAAGUAACUAUAUCAUGCAGCUUGUAGAUCACACUUGGGCUCAUCGAGGGGAAAUGAGAAAAAAUAACAGCUUUGCCAAAUUAGCAGAGCGUAUGCAUGCAAGGAAAUUCCAGUGAUUAUUCUGAACAUCUGAUUCCAGAGGGAAUCACAUCCAAGUAAUAGAAAUAAUUGAAGAUGAAAAUUCAAGAGCAAAUCCUGUUGACUGCUAUAUACUAACUGCAUCUGUCUGAGCUGCAUCUCCAGUGCCACCACCGUUGUUCAAUGACUGUGAACUCUUGCCUGGAAUAUGCAAGAGCCUCAUGCUUGGACUCCUUUCCUCCCUAUGUUCUUUACAAUCUGUUCUCCAGAGAAAACUCAAAAUGAGUUUUCCAACAUCAAUUACAUCACAUCACUCCCUGCUUAAAACUCUCCAGUGGCUUCCUACUGCAUUUACACUAAAACCAGCCUCUUUAACAUCACCUAAAAGGCCCCGAUAGUGAGGUCUUGCCUACUUCUCUGACCAGACUUCAUAAUAGUCUGCUUCUCGCUCUGUCUGAUGUGUUCCUCAAGCUAAACGACCACGUGUUUCUCAAAACUCACAGAAAUGUACUAAAAAGGCCUCUUGGAAUCAGACACUACAGAAGUUCCAGAAACCAUUUGGGGACCAUGAGAGAAAAGAAGAGAAAAUCCAGAGGCCUUACCCUUAGCAUUUGGAUUCAGUGAGAUACAAGCAACUACCUAACACUGCGUUCUAUUUAGGGGGUUGAGCUCUAAUAUUUUAAAGAUACUGAAAUAAAGGUCUCUCUCAGGCCGCCAGGCAAUUCCCAACUAAUAUAAAUAUCUAGGUAUGUAUCUAAUAAUGUAUAAAAUAGUUAUGAAGAAAAGGAUAGAACAUAAGAAGACCAAAAGGAAUGGAGAAAUAUUCCAUAAUUAUAAAUGAAGACACUUGAUAUUAUGAUUAUUGAAGUCUGUAAAUUCAAUUCAAUUCAAAUCAAAAUCCUAGUAAGAUGUUUCACAGAAUUUACUGAACAGGGGGGCUUAAAUGUAUAUCAAAGAUUAUGGCCAAAAACAGCUAACAAUA